AGUGAACGCUGGCGGUAGGCCUAACACAUGCAAGUCGAACGGCAGCACAGUAAGAGCUUGCUCUUACGGGUGGCGAGUGGCGGACGGGUGAGGAAUACAUCGGAAUCUACUUUUUCGUGGGGGAUAACGUAGGGAAACUUACGCUAAUACCGCAUAUGACCUACGGGUGAAAGCAGGGGAUCUUCGGGCCUUGCGCGAUUGAAUGAGCCGAUGUCGGAUUAGCUAGUUGGCGGGGUAAAGGCCCACCAAGGCGACGAUCCGUAGCUGGUCUGAGAGGAUGAUCAGCCACACUGGAACUGAGACACGGUCCAGACUCCUACGGGAGGCAGCAGUGGGGAAUAUUGGACAAUGGGCGCAAGCCUGAUCCAGCCAUACCGCGUGGGUGAAGAAGGCCUUCGGGUUGUAAAGCCCUUUUGUUGGGAAAGAAAAGCAGCAGGUUAAUACCCCGCUGUUCUGACGGUACCCAAAGAAUAAGCACCGGCUAACUUCGUG
rnacentral:rRNA from 1 species